rnacentral:rRNA from 1 species
GUAGGGGGCAAGCGUUGUCCGGAUUUAUUGGGCGUGAAGAGCGUGUAGGCGGCCAAACAGGUCCACUGUGAAAACUCGAGGCUCAACCUCGAGAGGUCGGUGGAAACCGUAUGGCUAGAGUCCGGAAGAGGAGAGUGGAAUUCCCGGUGUAGCGGUGAAAUGCGCAGAUAUCGGGAAGAACACCCGUGGCGAAGGCGGCUCUCUGGGACGGUACUGACGCUGAGACGCGAAAGCGUGGGGAGCGAACAGGAUUAGAUACCCUGGUAGUCCACGCCGUAAACGAUGGGCACUAGGUGUGGCGGGUGUCGACUCCCGCUGUGCCGAAGCUAACGCAUUAAGUGCCCCGCCUGGGGAGUACGGCCGCAAGGCUA